UUCAGCUCUGCAGAUCAACCCAGAGAGCGGAGGGGAGAGGGAGAGGCUGCAGGGACAGAAAUGUUCGAUGGACUGCGGGAAGAGAAGUGAGCGAGGGAGCGGCGGGCUGGAUGGCGCCGUGCUGCUCGCCUUUCCUCUGCUUUCUGGGAGACAGCAGGAAUCCUAGCACAGAUGCUGCUAAAAGCACAGGGAAGAACACUGGAAAUGAUGACCACAUCAGCUUCAAAUGAAUUGCCCUGAAAUGGAGGCUGCCUGGGUUGUCCAGGCGGCCAAACCUACUGCAUGCACAAGGAUGUGCCCGUAAAUCCCACUGCUUUCAGUUCUGCUGGUUUCAGGCACUGCUGGAUGCUAACAAUUCACAGGUU
rnacentral:lncRNA from 1 species